GACGAACGCUGGCGGCGUGCUUAACACAUGCAAGUCGAACGGUGAAAGCGGAGCUUGCUCCGCUGGAUCAGUGGCGAACGGGUGAGUAACACGUGGGCAACCUGCCCCUCACUUCGGGAUAACUCCGGGAAACCGGGGCUAAUACCGGAUAUGACCUCCUUGGGCAUCCUUGGAGGUGGAAAGUUUUUCGGUGAGGGAUGGGCCCGCGGCCUAUCAGCUUGUUGGUGAGGUAGUGGCUCACCAAGGCGACGACGGGUAGCCGGCCUGAGAGGGCGACCGGCCACACUGGGACUGAGACACGGCCCAGACUCCUACGGGAGGCAGCAGUGGGGAAUAUUGCGCAAUGGGCGAAAGCCUGACGCAGCAACGCCGCGUGCGGGACGACGGCCUUCGGGUUGUAAACCGCUUUCAGCAGGGAAGAAGCCGCAAGGUGACGGUACCUGCAGAAGAAGCACCGGCUAACUACGUGCCAGCCGCCGCUGUAAGAC
rnacentral:rRNA from 1 species